rnacentral:rRNA from 1 species
GGGGAGCGAACGCCAGUUAUUAGGGUCCUUAUAAUAAUUCACGCGCUCGGACAAACAACUAGAGAGAGAGAAGAAUGAUUCAAAUUCAAAUCGUGGGGGAGGGAACGCUUUUGGAGCUCUGAUGUUUGGAGAUCUCGGAACCCAGAUUCAAAUUCCAAAUUCAAAACUGGAGGCGCUAACCAUGCAGGACCACGGCGUUGGGGAUAGGGGAAAACCACGGCGUAAUUACACGAGCCAUUUUAUACCCGUGUAGACUGUAGUACUCGCUCUACUCUCUACUCUCUAGUAGUCUCCGCCAUACCUCGUCUCCUUGGACUCCGAUGACGACCCGCCGUGGUCGUGGUGCGUCUUCCUGCUCUUCUUCUUCGCGGCGGCAGCGGAUUUCGCGGGGAUCGUGUCGGCGUAGAGCUCCGACAGCAGGCGGUGCCUCUUCCUCGCCCGCCUGUCCAGCUCCGUGUACGCCGCCGCUGGAAUCUCCUCGACGACCCGCUCCUCUGCCUCGACGGAGAGGCCCUCGCAGCGCGAGCCCGCCGAACACCGCGAGGACUUGGUGGGCUCCGCCUUCGCCUCUCCGAGAACGCUGAGCUGCAGCAGCAGCUCCGCCGCCGCAAGCUCCGGCCCAGAGAAGAGACCCGCGAACCAGAUCCCCAACUCCAAGUCCAGGUCCGGCCCGCGGCCGACGGCGAGCGACGACAUGGCUGGCUGGCGCCGGCAGACCAGUUGCUUCGCGAGAGGAGGAGCGAAUCGGAAUUACUACUUUUUUUUGUUCUCGGGGAUGGGUGGGUGCGGAUGAG